UUCCAUGUGGGAUACCACGCAGGCAAUCUACGUGCCAAUUGAUCCAAUGGCCCGAAUCCACUCCCGUGUGUAUGAAUGACCCAUAUUCAUUUUUCCAUCAACCGAGAUCGAACAGUCUACGUGCCUUCAAUUGGACGGCCUUGAUUUGCUUUCCAAAUAAGCUAGAUCCGACGGUGGAGAUCGGCCCAUGCGGACCCAAACAGAUAGCCGAGAUUGAGAGAAGAUGAGUGUUUAAACU
rnacentral:lncRNA from 1 species